AAUCGGUGUCUGGGAGAGCACUGAUGAUCAGUGACCGGAGAAGGCACUGAUGACAGCACCGAUGACAGCUGAGUCCACAACACAGCCGCCUUCGCCGCAGCCGCACUUCGUCCUCGCCCCUCUCGCGGCGCACGGUCACGUCAUCCCCAUGGUCGAUCUCGCGGGCCUCCUCGCCGCGCAUGGCGCACGCGCCAGCCUCGUCACGACGCCGCUGAACGCCACGAGGCUGCGCGGCGUCGCUGACAAGGCCGCGCGCGAGAAGCUGCCCCUCGAGAUCGUGGAGCUCCCGUUCUCGCCGGCCGUGGCAGGCCUGCCGUCGGACUGCCAGAACGCCGACAAGCUCUCGGAGGACGCGCAGCUCACGCCCUUUCUCAUCGCCAUGCGCGCCCUCGACGCGCCCUUCGAGGCCUACGUGCGCGCUCUGGAGCGGCGCCCGAGCUGCAUCAUCUCCGACUGGUGCAACACGUGGGCCGCCGGAGUUGCCUGGAGGAUCGGCAUCCCGCGGCUCUUCUUCCACGGGCCGUCGUGCUUCUACUCGCUCUGCGACCUCAACGCCGUCGUGCAUGGUCUUCACGAGCAGAUCGUCGCCGACGACGAACAGGAGACGACCUACGUCGUGCCUAGAAUGCCGGUACGCGUGACGGUGACGAAGGGCACGGCUCCCGGCUUCUUUAACUUUCCGGGUUAUGAAGCGCUCCGUGACGAGGCCAUCGAGGCGAUGCUCGCCGCCGACGGCGUGGUGGUGAACACCUUCCUGGACCUCGAGGCUCAGUUCGUGGCGUGCUACGAGGCGGCACUCGGCAAGCCGGUGUGGACGCUUGGCCCGCUCUGCUUGCACAACCGGGACGACGAGGCCAUGGCUUCGUGUGGGACUGGGAGCACGGACCUGCGCGCGAUCACCGCGUGGCUCGACGAGCAGGUCACCGGCUCCGUCGUCUACGUCAGCUUCGGCAGCGUCCUGCGAAAGCUUCCGAAGCACCUGUUCGAGGUCGGCAAUGGCCUCGAGGACUCCGGCAAGCCGUUCCUCUGGGUGGUGAAGGAGUCGGAAUUAGUUUCGUCGAGGCCGGAGGUUCAGGAAUGGCUGGACGAGUUCAUGGCGCGAACCGCGACGCGCGGCCUCGUGGUGCGCGGGUGGGCGCCGCAGGUGACCAUCCUGUCGCACCGCGCCGUCGGUGGCUUCCUCACGCACUGCGGGUGGAACUCGCUGCUGGAGGCCAUCGCCCGUGGCGUGCCCGUGGCGACGUGGCCACACUUCGCCGACCAGUUCCUGAACGAGCGGCUCGCCGUGGACGUGCUCGGCGUCGGCGUGCCGAUCGGCGUGACGGCGCCGGUGAGCAUGUUGAACGAGGAGUACUUGACAGUUGAUCGGGGUGACGUCGCGCGGGUGGUGUCGGUGCUGAUGGACGGCGGCGGCGAGGAGGCCGAGGAGAGGAGGAGGAAGGCCAAGGAGUACGGUGAGCAAGCUCGAAGGGCCAUGGCGAAAGGAGGCUCCUCGUAUGAGAAUGUGAUGCGGCUCAUUGCGAGGUUCAUGCAAACUGGAGUGGAAGAACACUAGGUUUGUUUGUACUCCUUCCGUUCAUGAAUAACUGUCACCUGAUACUAUCUGUAACCAGAGUUUAAUUACUCAUAAUUUCGCAACAAGUUUAGAAAUAUUAAGAUUGUUCUAUGCUCUCUCCAUAGUUAAUGACAUGGUUAACUUUAUGCAGCUAAACUUUUAAAGCAACUUUGACCACCAAUAACUCUAGAAAACAAUGUCUAGCUAGUUUGAAAACAUAAAAAAAAUAUAAGGUUGAUUUUUCUUUAUAACUAUUUCUACAACCAGGAAGAAAGCCUGCGCAAAUGUGCGGGCACCUUAUUUCAUUUAAUGUUGUUUAAAUUUUUAUUAUGGAUAUUUAUGUGUGGAUAAUAUUUUUGAAAUAUUCUUUGACAUCAUUUUAAACAUGUUAUGGUUAACAACUGGUUUGGAUAGUGGUUAUGAUUUUAUUCUAAUUGCCUUACAAUAUAAAAUAAUAUUUUUAAGAAUAUUUGCAAGAUGGCGUGAAGUCGUGUUGCGGCAGCAUGUCUUAUUUGGCAACCUUGCCAAGGGUGGUCACUACAUAUAUUCACAAUUGAAGAAAAACCUUAGAGCUGCAAAGAAAGAGAGAAAAAUACUCGAUGGGGCUGAUCGACGGAGGGAGUAGAAAGAUUGGAAAGAUAGGACCCAACGCUGCCCGCCGCGGCGUCGACGGAGCAGCCCGAGGUCACCGAGCAGACGACCUCGACGUCCUACAGGUUCGGCAACACCGGCGGCGCCAUGACCAGUGCCGCGUCCGCUGCUGGCUCCUUCCUUCCACAUUCGCUGGGCGCAGAUCGAGUCUCCGACAACAUCGAGUCCCUGUUCCCCUCCUCGUCCACAGCCAGCGGCGCCGCCUCCGCCGGACGCGACGAGUACAGGGGAUCCCCGCCGGACCUUCUGUCGCGAUGACAAGCAACCAGCAGACGCAGUCACGCAGGAGCUAUGCCUCAAUCUGGUGAGCAAUUUUAGGACCGACGAAGUGACACUUCUCUGUGUUGGCUGCCUCUACAGGGGUUUGGAUAUUCUGCAAUAUAUGUAACUAGAAGUAUAUAUGCAAGUGAUGUAUAGUUCCUGUAGGUUCUUUUGUAAGUACUCUGGGAGUGAUUGAAUUAUGAUGAAAGUGAUAUAAAGGUCCUCUGUGCUUUUAUUAAGUACUCUGUAAGUGAUUUUCCAAAUGCAAUCAAAAGCUGCCUCAAAUAA